UAGGGAAUCUUCCACAAUGGGGCGCAAGCCUGAUGGAGCAACACCGCGUGAGUGAAGAAGGGUUUCGGCUCGUAAAGCUCUGUUGUUAAAGAAGAACACGUAUGAGAGUAACUGUUCAUACGUUGACGGUAUUUAACCAGAAAGUCACGGCUAACUACGUGCCAG
rnacentral:rRNA from 1 species